rnacentral:rRNA from 1 species
AUGAACGCUGGCGGCAUGCCUAACCCAUGCAAGUCGAUCGGUAAGGCUCUUCGGAGUACACGAGAGGCGGACGGCUGAGUAACGCGUAGGAACACACCCUGCAGUGAGGGAUAAGACACCGAAAGGUGUUCUAAUACCGCAUACGGUCUUCGGAUUAAAGCAUUUAUGCGCUGAAGGAGUGGCCUGCGUCAUAUUAGAUAGUUGGUGAGGUAAUGGCUCACCAAGUCGAUGAUGUGUAGCUGGUCUGAGAGGAUGAUCAGCCAGACUGGAACUGAGACACGGUCCAGACUCCUACGGGAGGCAGCAGUGAGGAAUAUUUCACAAUGAGCGAAAGCUUGAUGGAGCAAUGCCGCGUGCAGGAUGAAGGCUCUCGGGUUGUAAACUGCUUUUAUAAGAGAAGAUUAUGACGGUAACUUAUGAAUAAGGGACGGCUAACUACGUG